rnacentral:lncRNA from 1 species
GCAUUCAUAAAAGAGAGGGAAAAGAGAUGAGAGAGAGAUUAAGAAUAAAAAUGAUUCUAUUCACACUGUAAUUAGAUUAUAUCACAUAUAUUUAUAUGUGUACAAAUUGGUCUAACCCAAGACCAAACCCAAACAACUCCCAUGGCUAAUCAACAUGUGAUUGCACUCAUCCAAGUCUAUGUACACCCAUAUCUUGCAUGCUCUCACCCUUCUUGGGUCCAUACCUAGUCCAAAAGUAGAUUAGCCCCUUAAGGUCUAUGUCUCCUGGGUCUCG